rnacentral:rRNA from 1 species
UUUUAUUUGAGAGUUUGAUCCUGGCUCAGGAUGAACGCUGGCGGCGUGCCUAACACAUGCAAGUUGAGCGAUUUACUUCGGUAAAGAGCGGCGGACGGGUGAGUAACGCGUGGGUAACCUACCCUGUACACACGGAUAACAUACCGAAAGGUAUGCUAAUACGGGAUAAUAUAUUUGAGAGGCAUCUCUUAAAUAUCAAAGGUGAGCCAGUACAGGAUGGACCCGCGUCUGAUUAGCUAGUUGGUAAGGUAACGGCUUACCAAGGCGACGAUCAGUAGCCGACCUGAGAGGGUGAUCGGCCACAUUGGAACUGAGACACGGUCCAAACUCCUACGGGAGGCAGCAGUGGGGAAUAUUGCACAAUGGGCGAAAGCCUGAUGCAGCAACGCCGCGUGAGUGAUGAAGGCCUUCGGGUCGUAAAACUCUGUCCUCAAGGAAGAUAAUGACGGUACUUGAGGAGGAAGCCCCGGCUAACUACGUGCCAGCAGCCGCGGUAAUACGUAGGGGGCUAGCGUUAUCCGGAUUUACUGGGCGUAAAGGGUGCGUAGGCGGUCUUUCAAGUCAGGAGUGAAAGGCUACGGCUCAACCGUAGUAAGCUCUUGAAACUGGGAGACUUGAGUGCAGGAGAGGAGAGUGGAAUUCCUAGUGUAGCGGUGAAAUGCGUAGAUAUUAGGAGGAACACCAGUUGCGAAGGCGGCUCUCUGGACUGUAACUGACGCUGAGGCACGAAAGCGUGGGGAGCAAACAGGAUUAGAUACCCUGGUAGUCCACGCUGUAAACGAUGAGUACUAGGUGGCGGGGGUUACCCCC